rnacentral:rRNA from 1 species
GAUGAACGCUGGCGGCGUGCCUAAUACAUGCAAGUCGAGCGAACGGACGAGAAGCUUGCUUCUCUGACGUUAGCGGCGGACGGGUGAGUAACACGUGGAUAACCUACCUAUAAGACUGGGAUAACUUCGGGAAACCGGAGCUAAUACCGGAUAAUAUUUUGAACCGCAUGGUUCAAAAGUGAAAGACGGUUUUGCUGUCACUUAUAGAUGGAUCCGCGCUGCAUUAGCUAGUUGGUAAGGUAACGGCUUACCAAGGCAACGAUGCGUAGCCGACCUGAGAGGGUGAUCGGCCACACUGGAACUGAGACACGGUCCAGACUCCUACGGGAGGCAGCAGUAGGGAAUCUUCCGCAAUGGGCGAAAGCCUGACGGAGCAACGCCGCGUGAGUGAUGAAGGUCUUCGGAUCGUAAAACUCUGUUAUUAGGGAAGAACAUAUGUGUAAGUAACUGUGCACAUCUUGACGGUACCUAAUCAGAAAGCCACGGCUAACUACGUG